AGUGAACGCUGGCGGUAGGCCUAACACAUGCAAGUCGAACGGCAGCACAAGAGAGCUUGCUCUCUGGGUGGCGAGUGGCGGACGGGUGAGGAAUACAUCGGAAUCUACUCUGUCGUGGGGGAUAACGUAGGGAAGCUUACGCUAAUACCGCAUACGACCUACGGGUGAAAGCAGGGGACCUUCGGGCCUUGCGCGAUUGAAUGAGCCGAGGUCGGAUUAGCUAGUUGGCGGGGUAAAGGCCCACCAAGGCGACGAUCCGUAGCUGGUCUGAGAGGAUGAUCAGCCACACUGGAACUGAGACACGGUCCAGACUCCUACGGGAGGCAGCAGUGGGGAAUAUUGGACAAUGGGCGCAAGCCUGAUCCAGCCAUACCGCGUGGGUGAAGAAGGCCUUCGGGUUGUAAAGCCCUUUUGUUGGGAAAGAAAUCCAGCUGGCUAAUACCCGGUUGGGAUGACGGUACCCAAAGAAUAAGCACCGGCUAACUUCGUGCCAGCCGCCGCAGUAA
rnacentral:rRNA from 1 species